rnacentral:rRNA from 1 species
AUUGAACGCUGGCGGCAGGCCUAACACAUGCAAGUCGAGCGGAUGAGUGGAGCUUGCUCCAUGAUUCAGUGGCGGACGGGUGAGUAAUGCCUAGGAAUCUGCCUGGUAGUGGGGGACAACGUUUCGAAACGACUGUUAAUACCGCAUAAUGUCUACGGACCAAAGUGUGGGACCUUCGGGCCACAUGCUAUCGGAUGCGCCUACGUGGGAUUAGCUAGUUGGUGGGGUAAUGGCUCACCAAGGUGACGAUCCCUAGCUGGUUUGGGAGGAUGAUCAGCCACACUGGAACUGAGACACGGUCCAGACUCCUACGGGAGGCAGCAGUGGGGAAUAUUGGACAAUGGGCGCAAGCCUGAUCCAGCCAUGCCGCGUGUGUGAAGAAGGCCUUCGGGUUGUAAAGCACUUUCAGUAGGGAGGAAGGAUGUUGUGUUAAUAGCACAGCAUUUUGACGUUACCUACAGAAGAAGCACCGGCUAACUCUGUGCCAGCCGCCGCCGUAAGAC